rnacentral:rRNA from 1 species
UACGAAGGGGGCUAGCGUUGUUCGGAAUUACUGGGCGUAAAGGGCGCGUAGGCGGUGUGUCAAGUCAGGCGUGAAAGCCCCGGGCUCAACCUGGGAACAGCGCUUGAGACUGGCACGCUCGAGUUCGGGAGAGGAUGGUGGAAUUCCCAGUGUAGAGGUGAAAUUCGUAGAUAUUCGGAAGAACACCAGUGGCGAAGGCGGCUCACUGGUCCGGUACUGACGCUGAUGUGCGAAAGCGUGGGGAGCAAACAGG